GAUUAUUGUUAGGCCGAGCGGUUAUGGCGCCAGCUUCAGGGCAGUAAUAAGCAACGAUUACAACCUCUGCUGGUCUCGAAAGAGGCGUGGGUUCGAUUCCCACUCUGUUCA